GGAGGGUGCAAGCGUUGUUCGGAAUUAUUGGGCGUAAAGAGCGUGUAGGCGGUCCGGUAAGUCAGAUGUGAAAGCCCUGGGCUCAACCCAGGAAGUGCAUUUGAAACUACCAGACUUGAGUACGGGAGAGGAGGGGGGAAUUCCCGGUGUAGAGGUGAAAUUCGUAGAUAUCGGGAGGAAUACCAGUGGCGAAGGCGCCCCUCUGGACCGAUACUGACGCUGAGACGCGAAAGCGUGGGGAGCAAACAGGAUUAGAUACCCUGGGUAGUCCACGCCGUGAACGAUGAGCACUAGGUGUAGCGGGUAUUGACCCCCCUGCUGUGCCCGUAGCUAACGCAUUAAGUGCUACGCCUGGGGGACUACGGUCGCAAGACUA
rnacentral:rRNA from 1 species